GUAUUCCCAGGAGUUCCCUUGACCACUUCAUGAGGGCUUACUUCAUUUCGCCCUGCUGAAGUGUUUGGGGGAACUCCGGGGUUCAC
rnacentral:pre_miRNA from 1 species